rnacentral:ncRNA from 11 species
CAGUGCAAUGUUAAAAGGGC